GGAUCGUGUUUAAUGAGCACCAUCCUCAUGAGUUAGUGCCAUCGUCUUUUCGGCGAUGAAUACUAGUAGCACCAAACUCCUCUGAUGACCAGUAUGUCUAAAAACUAUCGUUUGGGCUGGGUGCGAUGCCCCUUGGUCCACC
rnacentral:sRNA from 12 species